CAAGUCCUGUUUCAUGCUUUAUUUAUACUUUUCUUGCUCAUCCUGUUUGCGCAGAUGCAGAUCAAGAGCGGCGGGAAGGGGAAAUCUGCGGGGACGGGCUGCGGCUGCAGAACUUGGGCUCAGUUUGCACCAGCUGCCCCCGGCUCAGCCCUUCAGCUCGGUCCGGGACUGGACCUUCCACCCUCUGAGGGUGGAUGCCGGUUGUUUGUGCUUCCCUACGCACAGCUGGAUACAGGCAGAAAAAAACGUGGCGAGUAGACGUGACCUCCACAGCUGGAAGAAGAAGAGGAAACCACUGGGAACCAACCAUGUGCUCCUUCAAAAGCCGCCAGCCCGGUGCUGCCCUGGACUGUGCACACCCAGCAAUGCCCAGAUAGGUACAGAAAAUGCUUCGUUUUCUCAUGACACAUGGAUCAGCCUUGUGAUGUUCACAUCAAACCAUGUGAGCUUGCCUGUCAAAUUGAUUUGCUACAGUAGUGGUGCCUAACAGAAGUUGUGAUGUCCUUGCGAGCAUGAUCAAGAAAUGCUCUUGCUUAUAGUGCAGGAACACAAAAGGCUCUGCAGUUCCCCUCUGGAUGUGGCCUCGCUGGGGUCACAGGGGCCUUGUGAUGCAAUUCCUUAAAAACCUGGCUGAAAUGGCUCCACUAGGGAGAAAUGACUGUUUGUAGGGUUUUUUUGUGUUUGUUAUUGUUGUUUGGUUGGGUUUGGUUUGGUUUGGUUUGGUUUAAUUUGUUUUGUUGUGUUUAUUUUGUUUGGUUGUGUUUGGUUUUGUUUUGUUCAGAAAAAAAAACAAGCCCUCACCUGAAUCUUGAAUCUUCAUAGCAGUGGUCUCAUGUCUCUAGAUGUGGACAUAUCCCUCCAGGUCUGAGAGGAAUUAUAAAACCUGUUCUAGGUGUGCCUGUCAAUGGAGAUGCUGCAAGAAUGUGCGGGUUGUGUUUCCUCCUUCUGCUUCCAGGAGGGAGUUACAGCUCUGUGAGAUGUUUUUCUGACCUAAGAGCAGAGAUGAGGAUAUAUUUUAUUUUUAUUUUACUUUAAUUUUGGCUCGCACUACAGCACGUGGCUUCUCAUUUGAGUCUGCUAUCGGCAAAGCUGUGGAUCCGUAUAUUAAACAAGCAGGCUGUGAGUUACGAAGAAAACAUGCAUAGAUGGACAAAAUAUGGGGAAAACACCCCUAAUGAUGCAAUGAGACCAGUUACACAUCAUCACUUUUUUUUCUGCACUGCAGAAUUUAGUUUUCAAAGAGAUUUGAGGAAAAAUGUUUUGCUUCAGACCUGGUCACAGAACCAUCUUUGGCAGAAUUGCAGUGUACAGAACCACAAGUUUAUAUUGUUGUGAACUAAUUGGCUUUAUCUCUAUAUUAUGGGUGCAAUUAUUGUUAUUUUCUUAUGUAUAAUAGAUGCAUGUGCAGUUCUAGAAGUUCAUAGAUCACAGCCAACUGUUUUCUCCUAAGUUAAGAGAGAUAUAAAGGAGAGCUGAGGCUGCCUGCAGUAUCAGGAGCUGUGCAUCUCAAUCUCAAAACCAACAAACUCCAGCAUGAGCGAGCACAUCAUGGUUUGUGCAUUGGCAAGCUCAUGUUUUGUGGCUCAAAUCUCCAAGCUGAUGUUUGCCUUUUGGAAGUGAAAUGAAAAGCCGCUCAUUGCAGGCUUCACAGGCUUUUACUCCCAUCUUGACAUUUUAUAAUCAGUAUUCUCGGUUUUGUGAAUGGUUUCUUACCUUUCCUGCCGCAGGGUGUGUGACUAAGAAUCAUUUCCCCAGGAAUUAAACAGGUUUUGCCAAUACGAAGAGUGGAGAGCCCAGCGUAGGGCACAGAACUCCCCGGCUGAUCCGAACCUGCUGAGAGGGCACAUUGUCUGUGUACAAACGUUCACAAGAUUCACAGAGUAAUUCUGACGAUACAAGAAACCUGACAGAUUUACAGACCUAUCGCUGAUCCGGCUGCAGGGUUUGGAAGCUGAUAUAUUUAUGUGAUUCAGCAGCAGCCAGAGGUUGUGGAGGGCUUUUCCCGCAGGGGAUAAUUCUCUGUGCUUGAGAUUUCCUUUGAGAGCCCAGCAGUCCCGCCUCUGGGGAAUCUGCUCUUUCCAGGCAUCUCACAUGGUUAUUUUUGGCUACGUCUGUGGCGAUUUCGACUUUCCCAGUGCAGCUAUUUUUAUAACACAUGGCUGUGAAGUCUAUAGCAUUAGACAUAAUGUAAUCUUGCAUGUUGGAGUGUCCCAGGACUGUAUGUAUGCAAUUACCACCUCUCACACCUGCUCCCUCUUCAUCCUGUAUUCGAAACACUCCUUUACUAUAAGAAGCAGAAGCAUCAGAGGCUUCUAGACAACAGUUCCUUUAUUGAGCAUGCUAAGCUGCCAUAAAUAUUUAAUUAGGUGUUGUUCUAUUUUUGGAGAGAUACAGGAAAAAAAAAUCCCCAUUUCCUUACAUUUAAACAGAAUAUUUUCCUGGUGGAAAAAAUUCCCUGUAUUAAGUAGUGACGGGGAGACGACUUUUAAGAGGGUGAAAGGCUGGUGAAGAGGGGAUUUCACUGAGCAGAGGGUCCACUCCUGUUGUUCUCUCGGUGGGAAGGGAGGCAGCACAUCUCUGCUGUAUCUCGAUUUCUUGUACUCUGGCUUCCCACCCAAACAACCCCAUCUUCAUCUUGCUCUUUUCCACUCAAGAACCGCCUGAAAAUUCCCCCAUCCUUUUCAAUGGUUGAAAAAAAAAAUUGGGACAAGACUAAAGAACCAAAUUCUAAAAUGUUGUAACUGCACUGAUCUCAAAAUCACCGUUUGACAGCACAGAAUUAAAACUGAGUACACUAAACCCAACAGCAACUAUUGUUUCAAUGAAUAUAAAAUUUAUUUUAAAAACAUCAUGCUCUGUAUGUUGUGAACAGCUUCCCAUACAAGUGACAGAGGGGAAACUUAAAGAUCUCUCAACCAGAAUGUCUCUUAUAUAGGCUCUGUCUUUAGAAGCCAAAGAGAACUAACUUACAAGAAAGAUAAAAAAUUAAGUAUGUACGGUUUGGUCAAAAUAAUGAUGAUGGGGAAUUAGGAAGCAAUUUGUGAGUAUGUUAAGGGACAGAAAUUGUUUAGUGUUACAUGUAAUCAGAUUAAACUACCAGUAGAAAAAGCGAAACACAUCCAGACUCAUCACAGGAUGACGGAGAUGCCUCUUUGAAGGGGAACAUUUGGAAACAGACCCUAUGCUGUGGAAAAAAGGGAUAAUAAAGUAUGUUCCAAACGUGUACUGACUAAAUAUCCCGAGAGAUACCUUACAGUCUUGUACUUACUUGAUAUAUGGGUUGUGUGGAAGGUGCGUUUGUUGAUUAAAAUAAUCAUUAUACCUAUUAAAACUGAGCUGACUGCUUCAUUGGCCAAAUACAAGGUAA